rnacentral:rRNA from 1 species
AUGCAGUCGACGAGGACGUGGCCUUCGGGCCGCUUCCUAGUGGCGAACGGGUGAGUAACACGUGAGGAACCUGCCCCGGAGACCGGGAUAACUAGGGGAAACCCUGGCUAAUACCGGAUGCCCUCGGAUGGUCGCAUGGCCGACCGAGGAAAUGCUCAGGUGCUCCGGGAGGGCCUCGCGGCCUAUCAGCUAGUUGGCGGGGUAACGGCCCACCAAGGCAUCGACGGGUAGCUGGUCUGAGAGGACGAUCAGCCACACUGGGACUGAGACACGGCCCAGACUCCUACGGGAGGCAGCAGUGGGGAAUAUUGCGCAAUGGGCGAAAGCCUGACGCAGCAACGCCGCGUGGGGGAUGAAGGCCUUCGGGUUGUAAACCCCUUUCAGCAGGGACGAAAAUGACGGUACCUGCAGAAGAAGCCCCGGCCAACUACGUGCCAGCAGCCGCGGUAACACGUAGGGGGCGAGCGUUGUCCGGAUUUAUUGGGCGUAAAGAGCUCGUAGGCAGUUGCGUAAGUCGGAUGUGAAAACUCAGGGCUCAACCCGGAGACGCCAUUCGAUACUGCGCUGACUAGAGUCCGGUAGGGGAGCAUGGAAUUCCUGGUGUAGCGGUGAAAUGCGCAGAUAUCAGGAGGAACACCAGUAGCGAAGGCGGUGCUCUGGGCCGGUACUGACGCUGAGGAGCGAAAGCGUGGGUAGCGAACAGGAUUAGAUACCCUGGUAGUCCACGCCGUAAACGUUGGGCACUAGGUGUGGGGCCUACUUAACGGGUUCCGUGCCGUAGCUAACGCAUUAAGUGCCCCGCCUGGGGAGUACGGCCGCAAGGCUAAACUCAAGGAAUGACGGGGGCCCGCA